rnacentral:rRNA from 1 species
GGUUAAGCGACUAAGCGUACACGGUGGAUGCCCUGGCAGUCAGAGGCGAUGAAGGACGUGCUAAUCUGCGAUAAGCGUCGGUAAGGUGAUAUGAACCGUUAUAACCGGCGAUUUCCGAAUGGGGAAACCCAGUGUGAUUCGUCACACUAUCAUUAACUGAAUCCAUAGGUUAAUGAGGCGAACCGGGGGAACUGAAACAUCUAAGUACCCCGAGGAAAAGAAAUCAACCGAGAUUCCCCCAGUAGCGGCGAGCGAACGGGGAGCAGCCCAGAGCCUGAAUCAGUGUGUGUGUUAGUGGAAGCGUCUGGAAAGGCGCGCGAUACAGGGUGACAGCCCCGUACACAAAAAUGCACAUGCUGUGAGCUCGAUGAGUAGGGCGGGACACGUGGUAUCCUGUCUGAAUAUGGGGGGACCAUCCUCCAAGGCUAAAUACUCCUGACUGACCGAUAGUGAACCAGUACCGUGAGGGAAAGGCGAAAAGAACCCCGGCGAGGGGAGUGAAAAAGAACCUGAAACCGUGUACGUACAAGCAGUGGGAGCACGCUUAGGCGUGUGACUGCGUACCUUUUGUAUAAUGGGUCAGCGACUUAUAUUCUGUAGCAAGGUUAACCGAAUAGGGGAGCCGAAGGGAAACCGAGUCUUAACUGGGCGUUAAGUUGCAGGGUAUAGACCCGAAACCCGGUGAUCUAGCCAUGGGCAGGUUGAAGGUUGGGUAACACUAACUGGAGGACCGAACCGACUAAUGUUGAAAAAUUAGCGGAUGACUUGUGGCUGGGGGUGAAAGGCCAAUCAAACCGGGAGAUAGCUGGUUCUCCCCGAAAGCUAUUUAGGUAGCGCCUCGUGAAUUCAUCUCCGGGGGUAGAGCACUGUUUCGGCAAGGGGGUCAUCCCGACUUACCAACCCGAUGCAAACUGCGAAUACCGGAGAAUGUUAUCACGGGAGACACACGGCGGGUGCUAACGUCCGUCGUGAAGAGGGAAACAACCCAGACCGCCAGCUAAGGUCCCAAAGUCAUGGUUAAGUGGGAAACGAUGUGGGAAGGCCCAGACAGCCAGGAUGUUGGCUUAGAAGCAGCCAUCAUUUAAAGAAAGCGUAAUAGCUCACUGGUCGAGUCGGCCUGCGCGGAAGAUGUAACGGGGCUAAACCAUGCACCGAAGCUGCGGCAGCGACGCUUAUGCGUUGUUGGGUAGGGGAGCGUUCUGUAAGCCUGCGAAGGUGUGCUGUGAGGCAUGCUGGAGGUAUCAGAAGUGCGAAUGCUGACAUAAGUAACGAUAAAGCGGGUGAAAAGCCCGCUCGCCGGAAGACCAAGGGUUCCUGUCCAACGUUAAUCGGGGCAGGGUGAGUCGACCCCUAAGGCGAGGCCGAAAGGCGUAGUCGAUGGGAAACAGGUUAAUAUUCCUGUACUUGGUGUUACUGCGAAGGGGGGACGGAGAAGGCUAUGUUGGCCGGGCGACGGUUGUCCCGGUUUAAGCGUGUAGGCUGGUUUUCCAGGCAAAUCCGGAAAAUCAAGGCUGAGGCGUGAUGACGAGGCACUACGGUGCUGAAGCAACAAAUGCCCUGCUUCCAGGAAAAGCCUCUAAGCAUCAGGUAACAUCAAAUCGUACCCCAAACCGACACAGGUGGUCAGGUAGAGAAUACCAAGGCGCUUGAGAGAACUCGGGUGAAGGAACUAGGCAAAAUGGUGCCGUAACUUCGGGAGAAGGCACGCUGAUAUGUAGGUGAAGUCCCUCGCGGAUGGAGCUGAAAUCAGUCGAAGAUACCAGCUGGCUGCAACUGUUUAUUAAAAACACAGCACUGUGCAAACACGAAAGUGGACGUAUACGGUGUGACGCCUGCCCGGUGCCGGAAGGUUAAUUGAUGGGGUUAGCGCAAGCGAAGCUCUUGAUCGAAGCCCCGGUAAACGGCGGCCGUAACUAUAACGGUCCUAAGGUAGCGAAAUUCCUUGUCGGGUAAGUUCCGACCUGCACGAAUGGCGUAAUGAUGGCCAGGCUGUCUCCACCCGAGACUCAGUGAAAUUGAACUCGCUGUGAAGAUGCAGUGUACCCGCGGCAAGACGGAAAGACCCCGUGAACCUUUACUAUAGCUUGACACUGAACAUUGAGCCUUGAUGUGUAGGAUAGGUGGGAGGCUUUGAAGUGUGGACGCCAGUCUGCAUGGAGCCGACCUUGAAAUACCACCCUUUAAUGUUUGAUGUUCUAACGUGGACCCGUAAUCCGGGUUGCGGACAGUGUCUGGUGGGUAGUUUGACUGGGGCGGUCUCCUCCUAAAGAGUAACGGAGGAGCACGAAGGUUGGCUAAUCCUGGUCGGACAUCAGGAGGUUAGUGCAAUGGCAUAAGCCAGCUUGACUGCGAGCGUGACGGCGCGAGCAGGUGCGAAAGCAGGUCAUAGUGAUCCGGUGGUUCUGAAUGGAAGGGCCAUCGCUCAACGGAUAAAAGGUACUCCGGGGAUAACAGGCUGAUACCGCCCAAGAGUUCAUAUCGACGGCGGUGUUUGGCACCUCGAUGUCGGCUCAUCACAUCCUGGGGCUGAAGUAGGUCCCAAGGGUAUGGCUGUUCGCCAUUUAAAGUGGUACGCGAGCUGGGUUUAGAACGUCGUGAGACAGUUCGGUCCCUAUCUGCCGUGGGCGCUGGAGAACUGAGGGGGGCUGCUCCUAGUACGAGAGGACCGGAGUGGACGCAUCACUGGUGUUCGGGUUGUCAUGCCAAUGGCACUGCCCGGUAGCUAAAUGCGGAAGAGAUAAGUGCUGAAAGCAUCUAAGCACGAAACUUGCCCCGAGAUGAGUUCUCCCUGACCCUUUAAGGGUCCUGAAGGAACGUUGAAGACGACGACGUUGAUAGGCCGGGUGUGUAAGCGCAGCGAUGCGUUGAGCUAACCGGUACUAAUGAACCGUGAGGCUUAACCUU